ensembl:misc_RNA Y_RNA Y RNA
GCCCGGUCUGAAGGUAGUGAGUUAUCUCAACUGAUUGUUCACCAUUACAGAUGGAACUCCUUGUUGUAGUCUCUUCCUGUUUCUCACUACUGCACCCAGCUGGUCUUUU